CGUGUAGGCGGUUUGUUAAGUCUGAUGUGAAAGCCCCGGGCUCAACCUGGGAAGUGCAUUGGAUACUGGCAAACUUGAGUAUGGGAGAGGAAAGUGGAAUUCCGAGUGUAGGGGUGAAAUCCGUAGAUAUUCGGAGGAAUACCAGUGGCGAAGGCGGCUUUCUGGACCAAUACUGACGCUGAGACGCGAAAGCGUGGGGAGCAAACA
rnacentral:rRNA from 1 species